rnacentral:rRNA from 1 species
GAACGGGGAGCAGCCCAGAGCCUGAAUCAGUAUGUGUGUUAGUGGAAGCGUCUGGAAAGGCGCGCGAUACAGGGUGACAGCCCCGUACACAAAAAUGCACAUGCUGUGAGCUCGAUGAGUAGGGCGGGACACGUGGUAUCCUGUCUGAAUAUGGGGGGACCAUCCUCCAAGGCUAAAUACUCCUGACUGACCGAUAGUGAACCAGUACCGUGAGGGAAAGGCGAAAAGAACCCCGGCGAGGGGAGUGAAAAAGAACCUGAAACCGUGUACGUACAAGCAGUGGGAGCACGCUUAGGCGUGUGACUGCGUACCUUUUGUAUAAUGGGUCAGCGACUUAUAUUCUGUAGCAAGGUUAACCGAAUAGGGGAGCCGAAGGGAAACCGAGUCUUAACUGGGCGUUAAGUUGCAGGGUAUAGACCCGAAACCCGGUGAUCUAGCCAUGGGCAGGUUGAAGGUUGGGUAACACUAACUGGAGGACCGAACCGACUAAUGUUGAAAAAUUAGCGGAUGACUUGUGGCUGGGGGUGAAAGGCCAAUCAAACCGGGAGAUAGCUGGUUCUCCCCGAAAGCUAUUUAGGUAGCGCCUCGUGAAUUCAUCUCCGGGGGUAGAGCACUGUUUCGGCAAGGGGGUCAUCCCGACUUACCAACCCGAUGCAAACUGCGAAUACCGGAGAAUGUUAUCACGGGAGACACACGGCGGGUGCUAACGUCCGUCGUGAAGAGGGAAACAACCCAGACCGCCAGCUAAGGUCCCAAAGUCAUGGUUAAGUGGGAAACGAUGUGGGAAGGCCCAGACAGCCAGGAUGUUGGCUUAGAAGCAGCCAUCAUUUAAAGAAAGCGUAAUAGCUCACUGGUCGAGUCGGCCUGCGCGGAAGAUGUAACGGGGCUAAACCAUGCACCGAAGCUGCGGCAGCGACGCUGAUGCGUUGUUGGGUAGGGGAGCGUUCUGUAAGCCUGCGAAGGUGUGCUGUGAGGCAUGCUGGAGGUAUCAGAAGUGCGAAUGCUGACAUAAGUAACGAUAAAGCGGGUGAAAAGCCCGCUCGCCGGAAGACCAAGGGUUCCUGUCCAACGUUAAUCGGGGCAGGGUGAGUCGACCCCUAAGGCGAGGCCGAAAGGCGUAGUCGAUGGGAAACAGGUUAAUAUUCCUGUACUUGGUGUUACUGCGAAGGGGGGACGGAGAAGGCUAUGUUGGCCGGGCGACGGUUGUCCCGGUUUAAGCGUGUAGGCUGGUUUUCCAGGCAAAUCCGGAAAAUCAAGGCUGAGGCGUGAUGACGAGGCACU